GGGGGUAUAGCUCAACGGCAGAGCAUCGGACUUUGACUCCGGUGAUCUAGGUUCGAUUCCUAGUGCCCCUGCCA
rnacentral:tRNA from 1 species